GACGAACGCUGGCGGCGUGCUUAACACAUGCAAGUCGAACGGAAAGGCCCUGCUUUUGUGGGGUGCUCGAGUGGCGAACGUGUGAGUAUCACUUGAGUAACCUGCCCUUGACUUUGUGAUAACUUCAGGAAACUGGGGCUAAUACCGGAUAGGAGCUCCUGCUGCAUGGUGUGGGUUGUAAAGUUUCGGCGGUUGGGGAUGGACUCGCGGCUUCUCAGCUUGUUGGUGGGGUAGUGGCUUACCAAGGCUUUGACGGGUAGCCGGCCUGAGAGGGUGACCGGCCACAUUGGGACUGAGAUACGGCCCAGACUGCUACGGGAGGCAGCAGUGGGGAAUAUUGCACAAUGGGCGGAAGCCUGAUGCAGCAACGCCGCGUGCGGGAUGACGGCCUUCGGGUUGUAAACCGCUUUCGCCUGUGACGAAGCGUGAGUGACGGUAAUGGGUAAAGAAGCACCGGCUAACUACGUG
rnacentral:rRNA from 1 species